UAUUACAGUUAACGGAAAGAAAAUUUAAAUUAAAGAGCUUACACCAGUGAUUCCCAACCUGUGGUUCCGGAUCCCUGGAGGUCCGCAAAGAUAAUACCAACUCAUUAAACAACUUGAAUAAUACCUUGGUGAUGAGGCAUUGUCGGAGAACCCACAGCUGGUUUCUAUUUCCAUGCUGACACUGGAGUCCAGGCUAUGGUACUUGCGCGCCCUCGAGUGUUGACGUUCCGAGCUACGAUUGAAA
rnacentral:misc_RNA from 1 species